rnacentral:rRNA from 1 species
GACGAACGCUGGCGGCGUGCCUAAUACAUGCAAGUCGAGCGGAACUGGGGGAGCUUGCUCCUUCCAGUUUAGCGGCGGACGGGCGAGUAACACGUGGGCAACCUGCCCUGCAGAUCGGGAUAACUCCGGGAAACCGGUGCUAAUACCGAAUAGUUUGGCGCCUCUCCUGAGGCGCUACGGAAAGACGGUUUCGGCUGUCACUGCAGGAUGGGCCCGCGGCGCAUUAGCUAGUUGGUGGGGUAACGGCCCACCAAGGCGACGAUGCGUAGCCGACCUGGGAGGGGGACCGGCCACACUGGGACUGAGACACGGCCCAGACUCCUACGGGAGGCAGCAGUAGGGAAUCUUCCGCAAUGGACGCAAGUCUGACGGAGCAACGCCGCGUGAGUGACGAAGGUUUUCGGAUCGUAAAACUCUGUUGUGAGGGAAGAACACGUACCAACUAACUAUUGGUACCUUGACGGUACCUCGCCAGAAAGCCACGGCUAACUACGUGCCAGCAGCCGCGGUAA